rnacentral:rRNA from 1 species
GACGAACGCUGGUGGCGUGCCUAAUACAUGCAAGUCGAGCGGACCAAUAGAAGCUUGCUUCUGUUGGUUAGCGGCGGACGGGUGAGUAACACGUGGGCAACCUGCCUGUAAGACUGGGAUAACUUCGGGAAACCGGAGCUAAUACCGGAUAAUUCAUCCCCUCGCAUGAGGGGAUGCUGAAAGUCGGUUUACGCUGACACUUACAGAUGGGCCCGCGGCGCAUUAGCUAGUUGGUGAGGUAAUGGCUCACCAAGGCGACGAUGCGUAGCCGACCUGAGAGGGUGCUCGGCCACACUGGGACUGAGACACGGCCCAGACUCCUACGGGAGGCAGCAGUAGGGAAUCUUACACAAUGGACGAAAGUCUGAUGGGGCAACGCCGCGUGAGCGAUGAAGGCCUUCGGGUCGUAAAGCUCUGUUGUUAGGGAAGAACAAGUAUCGGAGUAACUGCCGGUACCUUGACGGUACCUAACCAGAAAGCCACGGCUAACUACGUGCCAGCCGCCGCGGUAC